GACGAACGCUGGCGGCGUGCUUAACACAUGCAAGUCGAACGGAAAGGCCCUGCUUUUGUGGGGUGCUCGAGUGGCGAACGGGUGAGUAACACGUGAGUAACCUGCCCUUGACUUUGGGAUAACUUCAGGAAACUGGGGCUAAUACCGGAUAGGAGCUCCUGCUGCACGGUGGGGGUUGGAAAGUUUCGGCGGUUGGGGAUGGACUCGCGGCUUAUCAGCUUGUUGGUGGGGUAGUGGCUUACCAAGGCUUUGACGGGUAGCCGGCCUGAGAGGGUGACCGGCCACAUUGGGACUGAGGUACGGCCCAGACGCCUACGGGAGGCAGCAGUGGGGAAUAGUGCACAAUGGGCGGAAGCCGGAUGCAGCAACGCCGCGUGCGGGAUGACGGCCUUCGGGUGGUAAACCGCUUUCGCCUGUGACGAGGCGUGAGUGACGGUAAUGGGUAAAGAAGCACCGGCUAACUACGUG
rnacentral:rRNA from 1 species